UACGUAGGGUGCGAGCGUUGUCCGGAAUUAUUGGGCGUAAAGAGCGUGUAGGCGGUUCGGUAAGUCUGCCGUGAAAACCUGGGGCUCAACCCCGGGCGUGCGGUGGAUACUGCCGGGCUAGAGGGUGGUAGAGGCGAGUGGAAUUCCCGGUGUAGCGGUGAAAUGCGCAGAUAUCGGGAGGAACACCGGUGGCGAAGGCGGUUCUCUGGGCCUUACCUGACGCUGAGGAGCGAAAGCGUGGGGAGCGAACAGG
rnacentral:rRNA from 1 species